rnacentral:tRNA from 1 species
GCGGGAGUAACUCAGUUGGUAGAGUACGACCUUCCCAAGGUCGGAGUCGCGAGUUCGAGUCUCGUCUCCCGCUCCA